rnacentral:rRNA from 1 species
UACGAAGGGGGCUAGCGUUGCUCGGAAUUACUGGGCGUAAAGGGCGCGUAGGCGGCGCUGCAAGUCAGGCGUGAAAUUCCUGGGCUUAACCUGGGGGCUGCGCUUGAGACUGUGGUGCUAGAGGACGGAAGAGGGUCGUGGAAUUCCCAGUGUAGAGGUGAAAUUCGUAGAUAUUGGGAAGAACACCGGUGGCGAAGGCGGCGACCUGGGCCGUUACUGACGCUGAGGCGCGACAGCGUGGGGAGCAAACAGG